rnacentral:misc_RNA from 1 species
GAAAUGCGAUAAUUAAUGUGAAUUGCAGAAUUCAGUGAAUCAUCGAGUCUUUGAACGCACAUUGCACCCCCUGGUAUUCCGGGGGGUAUGCCUGUCCGAGCGUCAUUGCUGCCCUCAAGCACGGCUUGUGUGUUGGGCCCCGUCCCCGGUACCCCCGGGGACGGGCCCGAAAGGCAGCGGCGGCACCGCGUCCGGUCCUCGAGCGUAUGGGGCUUUGUCACCCGCUCUGCAGGCCCGGCCGGCGCCAGCCGACCAACCCAACCAUUUUUUACAGGUUGACCUCGGAUCAGGUAGGGAUACCCGCUGAACUUAA